rnacentral:rRNA from 1 species
UACGGAGGGGGCUAGCGUUGUUCGGAAUUACUGGGCGUAAAGCGCACGUAGGUGGCUUUGUAAGUUAGAGGUGAAAGCCCGGGGCUCAACUCCGGAAUUGCCUUUAAGACUGCAUCGCUAGAACGUCGGAGAGGUAAGUGGAAUUCCGAGUGUAGAGGUGAAAUUCGUAGAUAUUCGGAAGAACACCGGUGGCGAAGGCGGCCCACUGGCUCGAGUACUGACGCUGAGGUGCGAA